rnacentral:rRNA from 1 species
CUGCGCCGGUGCAGGGGUGGUUCUCGUCGCUCUCGUACCGCCGGUGCUCGAGGCGCCGCGAGAAGAGGCAGGAGGGGGAGGGGUGUCGGUGGGGCCAGAGGCGGGCCCGUCCGUCGUCGGAAACGUCCGGCUGCGCGAGUCGGCGCCGGCAGAGGGGGUAGUCUACGAGGCGUCGGAGCGGGCUGGACAGCGGGCCGCGAGGCCGCGGCCGCGGCGGGUUCGGGGUUUAGCUCGAGCUCAAGCAGCCCGGAUUCGGCCCGCGGCUGCCCAGCAUGGGCCACCUGUCCCGCCGCCGCCACUCGCCGCUGUUCGAGGAGGCCCUGCAGUACGAACUCUUGUUCGAGCUCGAGAUGCGCCGUAUGCCCUUCGACUACUUGACGCCGCCGCCCCCGUCGACGCCGUGGACGGAGCAGCUCUAUUAGCUGCCCUUCCUCGACGACUCGGGUUCCUGGCUGCGGCUCUUAGCAAUGGACUUCUUCUUUGGCCUCAGCACCUCCGAGUGGACGGUCUGCUAGCAGCCCUUGUUCCUCUUGAGGCCGUUCCAACAGCAGGUUGCCGACGGGGUCACCUUCUUUACUGACUUGUUAGAACGUACGUGUAAGCUACCUGCCUGUCUUAUCUACUUGUCUCGUUCUUGCGUAGACGAUGACGACGACCGUAGUCAAUGUUUGGACAAAGAACCGUUUAGGGAUCAUGGUACAUACUAUCCCGCAUUAUCGUGUUAAACACAUAGAUUUUGGUAGAGGACCAAAAGAAGGACCUUAGUUACCGUUUAACAUUUAACAC